rnacentral:lncRNA from 10 species
GGAAUGUUUUAAAUCAAAGCAGGCCAAGUGCAGCAGAGGUAUUGGCUACACUUAAUCAAAAUGUUUUAACUCCUCACCUGAGCUCUCUGGCUGCCUCCCAGAAGCCCUGAAAAGCAGGAGCCAACUGCAUGAGCACAUAUGAGUUGGAGCUCUCGGCAACAAAUGAAGCGGAAAAAGAAGUCAAACUUGAAUGAAAAGCCUUCGUGAAGCUCGCCACUGAACCAUGAGCAAGGAAGGCUUCCAGUUUAAAGAGAGGCUCAUGAUGGUAGAAGGCUUUACAAGCUCAGCCUGAACACCUGGAGAAAUUAUGUCCAGGAGGAAAGACAUUGGUGCUGCAGGCUUUAAAAAGAACAUUGAUGAAUAUAUGAGGAAUAGCUGAGGAUGUGCCGAAUUGUGAAAAUUUCUGCCUAGAAGCACAAAAUCAUGAAAAGUUGUCCUGAUUGCAGGUCAACAUCAGGACCUCCUGCUACCAUCACCACCACCACUGACCCAUUUGCUUCACUCAGCCGAGUAGUGGAUCCAGGGCACAGCAAGAGGACAAAGGGGCUGUGAGGAGCACAGUGGUGGGGAGGAGGAGGAAGAGGAUUUUCUGAGUAAGGUGGGUGAUUCACACAGGUACUUGUUUCCCCUUCCAUAGCUACCCUCCAUCUCAGUCAUAGGGACCUUCCUAGUCCUUUGGAGCAUAUCCUUCUUCUUUCCCAACCAUCUGUCUUCUUGGCUUCCUCCUUCAGAAACCACCAUGAUAGCAUAUGAGCAAGGAGAAAACAUCAUGGCUUGAGGAAGCCUAUUCACUUUCAUGUGUCUCAUGGGCGAUCCCCUCCCCCGAGGCAUGGCCUGGGGGAACCUUUAAGAAGUCAGUUCAGGGGAGACAAGAU